CAGAGAAUAGUUUAUUUAAAAUAUUAAUUUUGGAGAUUAAUGAUAGAGUUGUACUUUUUCUCUGA
rnacentral:tRNA from 2 species